ACACACACACACACACACACAAUAGUGUCUUUCUUUCCAAACUCCCCGGCUUCUAAGUUUCCUGUGCACAGCUUUGGAAACAGUAGAGAUGCUGACUGAGCAGGCUAUUGCUAUAUCUAUGAUGAAAAACUUGUAAGAACUGUGAGGUUUUCUGAAGUAGGUGGUCUGUGGAUUGUGGUUUGGAGCAAAUAAAUAAAUAAAUAAACAAAUAAAUAAAUAAAUAAAUAAAAACCCUAGAAAGUUGGUCUGUGGUAGCUUCAUGUUCAAGAUGCACAGAGGCAAAGGGAGACUGAAUGACUUCUCAGAGGCAUUUUGGUUAAAAAAAAUGAUUAUCAGAAGAUGUGGGAAUAAAUGAAGAGGGGCAGGAUGGUAGGCAAAGCUGCUUCAGUGGACAGUCGCAUGAUAGAGUAAGCUGAGGUCUGAGAAACCAUGUGAGCAUUGCCUGGCACAUGGGAAGCAGGUACGAGUGCCCAUACAGAGGUCAGAGGACAUCUUGUAAGAA